UUACAGAUGUGGAAACGGAGCUGAAAUUUCCAAGGGUCCCAGUCCCAUCAGAGCAGGCUUACAGCCAUCUAACUUCCAAGAUGCCAAGAUGCUGAUUCUCCUGAAAUAAGUCCUAGGGCAGGAAGAGCUGGAGCUGGGCAGAGACUGCUUCAUGGCAGCUUUCCAGGGAGACGGCCAGCACAGUGAUAAUGGAUUGUAAGGCCUACUUGAGUCCAGGGAAUAUUGACCAAAAGCAUUCAACGACAAAUAUAUUCACUAAAAGCAGAGGAGUGUACUGAGGGUAAUUAUCAAGCCUUGUGUUGCAAUGGUAGCAUCACAAAGAAACCUGAGUCCUCAAGCUCAUUUCUGGAGAAACCUCCACCAACCAGCACUGAACACUGAUGGAGCGAGAGAUCUACCGUUGCUGUGCUAAGCCAUGAGAUUGGGGGAUUUGUCUGUUGAGGCAACUGACAUUAAUGACUGUGACUAAUACAGUGACAGAAAGAAUGAACUUGUUUUGGUUUUGCCCAAAGAGGCACAUCUCCUACAUAGGAGACAAGGAGUGAUGUUAAAGAUGCACCAGGCUGCUACCUACCACCUCUGCAGUGGCUGGAGCAGGGCUGGGGAUGGGCACUCCUUGCCCCAGUUCGGCUGCCUCUUUCCCAAACACUUUCUCCUGUCUUUUCUCUUGAUCCCAAACAGGAAAACUCAUAAAUCACCCUUUAACAAUGAGCUGAGUAUACAUUAGCUAUUUGUUACUUUUUCUUUAAGAUAAAAGUUAUUUAAGUCCUGUCACUGAAAAUGGAAGGAGCAGGUGCUCCUUGUGUAAAUCUCUCUUGAGAUCAUAUACAGAGCACUUCACACACACACACAAACACAUACACACACACAGAGUCUACUUUUAAACAUUCUUUUACUCAUAAAUAGGAUGGCUGAAAGAAAGGAGAAAGUUAAUUCUAGAUUCCAAUUAAUUUCACCGCUGAAAUAGGAAAGAAAAUUAUGUUUGCUUUCUUAAAGUAAAUGGAAGUUAGACUAUCAAAGAUUAGUAAAGAUUGCUUAUAAUAGCUCAGCCACAUACCAGGGAGAUCAGCUCGGUGC